GGGCGGUUAGCUCAAUGGCAGAGCGUUCGCUUGACGUGCGAAAGGUUAUAGGUUCAAAUCCUAUACCGCCCA
rnacentral:tRNA from 1 species